rnacentral:tRNA from 1 species
UGUGGUUUUAGUUUAACAGAAAAAUAUUUGUUUUGCAAGCAAAAGCUCUAAGUUUAAAUCUUAGAAACUACAA